CAGCAGCAGCCGCGGGAAUACGAAGGGGGCUAGCGUUUUUCGGAAUUACUGGGCGUAAAGCGCACGUAGGCGGACAUUUAAGUCAGGGGUGAAAUCCCGGGGCUCAACCCCGGAACUGCCUUUGAUACUGUGUGUCUAGAGUAUGGAAGAGGUGAGUGGAAUUCCGAGUGUAGAGGUGAAAUUCGUAGAUAUUCGGAGGAACACCAGUGGCGAAGGCGGCUCACUGGUCCAUUACUGACGCUGAGGUGCGAAAGCGUGGGGAGCAAACAGGAUUAGAUACCCCUGUAGUCCCUGUCUCUUAUAC
rnacentral:rRNA from 1 species